rnacentral:rRNA from 1 species
GGGGGGGGCAAGCGUUGUUCGGAAUUACUGGGCGUAAAGGGCUCGUAGGCGGCCAACUAAGUCAGACGUGAAAUCCCUCGGCUUAACCGGGGAACUGCAUCUGAUACUGGAUGGCUUGAGUUCGGGAGAGGGAUGCGGAAUUCCAGGUGUAGCGGUGAAAUGCGUAGAUAUCUGGAGGAACACCGGUGGCGAAGGCGGCAUCCUGGACCGACACUGACGCUGAGGAGCGAAAGCCAGGGGAGCAAACGGGAUUAGAUACCCCGGUAGUCCUGGCCCUAAACGAUGAAUGCUUGGUGUGGCGGGUAUCGAUCCCUGCCGUGCCGAAGCUAACGCAUUAAGCAUUCCGCCUGGGGAGUACGGUCGCAAGGCUG